rnacentral:rRNA from 1 species
UACAGAGGUCUCAAGCGUUGUUCGGAUUCAUUGGGCGUAAAGGGUGUGUAGGUGGCGCCGUAAGUCGGGUGUGAAAUUUCGGAGCUUAACUCCGAAACUGCAUUCGAUACUGCGGUGCUUGAGGACUGGAGAGGAGACUGGAAUUCAUGGUGUAGCAGUGAAAUGCGUAGAGAUCGGGAGGAACACCUGUGGCGAAGGCGGGUCUCUGGACAGUUCCUGACGCUGAGGCACGAAGGUCAGGGGAGCAAACGGG